GCAAACGAAAAAUUAUGUAUCAUAUGAUUAUUGUGUUACUCUAAAACUAAUUGUUUGUGGUAAAUGUGUUAAAGGGUUAAAAGUAAAAAUUACUUGUGAUGAGAAAUAGUUUCCGAUUUUGAUUGUACGAAAGAAGUCGUACUGUGGUUAACGAACACAAAAAUCCUGAUAACAUACUUCCCAAUGCAGCUAACCAGUUCUGCUAGAGCUAUCAACCAAACACUUGUAAGUUUUAAAUAAAUGAAAUCUUAAAAAAACUUACGCCAGUCAUCGGUUCCUGACAUAUGGACAGGAAGUCUACAUCCCUCAAUUAAGGAUGACUAUUAAAAACAUAGUUUGGUCUUACGAUAAUACAGUUGAAUAAUAACUUACCACUGAAUCGCACAAGGCAGAAUCGUCAAUUUCUUCCAUUGUAACUUUCAUCACAUAACAAUCUUUUUAAAACUUUCUCAAAAAACUCACACGUUUGCAAAAGAAUUAUUAAAAACUACUUUAUAAUGUAACUUUACUUUAUAAUGUAAUGUAUAAUUUU